UGCGGUCACCAAAAACUCUGUUUUUUCGAAUAUUGACCGGCCAUGCCAAUAGCUCCGAAGGAGCGAAUAAAUCACAUAAUCAAUUUAUGAAUAUUUU
rnacentral:ncRNA from 1 species